UUACCGAAAACUUACCUGGGUUAAAUCCCAGUCGUAAAGUGCAGAGAUGCACUCCCCUGGAAACAGGCGGCUGGGAAGGUGCUGCAUGGCUGUCGUCAGCUCGUGUCGUGAGAUGUUGGGUUAAGUCCCGCAACGAGCGCAACCCUUACCACUAGUUGCCAGCAUUUAGUUGGGCACUCUAGCGGAACUGCCGGUGAUAAACCGGAGGAAGGUGGGGAUGACGUCAAGUCAUCAUGGCCUCUAUGUCCAGGGCUACACACGUGCUACAAUGGCCGGUACAAACCGUCGCGAACUCGCGAGAGGGAGCCAAUCGGAAAAAGCCGGUCUCAGUUCGGAUUGGAGUCUGCAACUCGACUCCAUGAAGUUGGAAUCGCUAGUAAUCGCAGAUCAGCACGCUGCGGUGAAUACGUUCCCGGGUCUUGUACACACCG
rnacentral:rRNA from 1 species